GCCCGGGUGGCGAAAUUGGUAGACGCAAGGGACUUAAAAUCCCUCGGAGGCAACUCCAUGCCGGUUCGAGUCCGGCCCUGGGCACCA
rnacentral:tRNA from 1 species